rnacentral:rRNA from 1 species
UUCGGAUUGGAGUCUGCAACCCGACUCCAUGAAGCUGGAUUCGCUAGUAAUCGCGCAUCAGCCACGGCGCGGUGAAUACGUUCCCGGGCCUUGUACACACCGCCCGUCAAGCCAUGGAAGCCGGGAGUGCCUGAAGUGCGUGAGCGCAAGCAGCGCCCUAAGGUAAAACCGGUGACUGGGGCUAAGUCGUAACAAGGUAUC